rnacentral:rRNA from 1 species
CGCACGGGUGAGUAACACGUAUGCAACCUGCCUGCCACAGCCGGAUAAUCGGGAGAAAUUCCGUCUAAUACGGCAUAAUGCAUCGACGGGACAUCCUGUUGGUGCCAAAGGUUGAUUCCGGUGGCGGAUGGGCAUGCGUCGCAUUAGUUAGUUGGCGGUGUAACGGACCACCAAGACGACGAUGCGUAGGGGUUCUGAGAGGAAGGUCCCCCCCACUGGUACUGAGACACGGACCAGACUCCUACGGAAGGCAGCAG